rnacentral:miRNA from 1 species
CUGAAGCGCGCGGCCGAGGCAGGCGGACCCGCGCCCGGGAACCCCGCCCGGGGAGUGCAGCUGCCGGCGGCGCCACGGCGCGGUCAC